GGGCUACACACGUGCUACAAUGGAUGGUACAACGAGUCGCGAGACAGUGAUGUUUAGCUAAUCUCUUAAAACCAUUCUCAGUUCGGAUUGUAGGCUGCAACUCGCCUACAUGAAGUCGGAAUCGCUAGUAAUCGCGGAUCAGCACGCCGCGGUGAAUACGUUCCCGGGCCUUGUACACACCGCCCGUCACACCACGGGAGUUGGGAGUACCCGAAGUAGGUUGCCUAACCGCAAGGAGGGCGCUUCCUAAGGUAAGACCGAUGACUGGGGUGAAGUCGUAACAAGGUAGCCGUAUCGGAAGGUGCGGCUGGAUCACCUCCUUUCUAAGGAA
rnacentral:rRNA from 1 species